CUCACCUGGAGAUCUUGUGAAAAUGCAGACUCUGAUUCAGCGGAUCUUCUGGGGCAUGGGAGAGUCUGCAUUUCUAAUAAGAUCCCAAGUGAUGCCCA
rnacentral:pre_miRNA from 1 species